rnacentral:rRNA from 1 species
AAAUUGAAGAGUUUGAUCAUGGCUCAGAUUGAACGCUGGCGGCAGGCCUAACACAUGCAAGUCGAACGGUAACAGGAAACAGCUUGCUGUUUCGCUGACGAGUGGCGGACGGGUGAGUAAUGUCUGGGAAACUGCCUGAUGGAGGGGGAUAACUACUGGAAACGGUAGCUAAUACCGCAUAACGUCGCAAGACCAAAGAGGGGG